GCACAUAACAAAUUUAAAGGGGGAAAAAUCAAAACAAAUAACAUAGUCAUUAGGUACAAUUGGAACAAAGAACCACCACCACCUAAACCAAAAUCACGAUCCAAGCCCACACCUACACAGUCCACACAACUCCCAUCACACCACCACUCAAGCAAAACGCAAACUAGUAAAUAAAAAAAAAGAAGCAAUAUUCAACCACCAUUACCCCACCACCGAGCGAAACUACCAUCAUCGUGAAUCACUUCUACUCAUCAGCAAAUCACCAUCACCAUCACCAUCAAUACGCCCACAACCUCCGGCCAUAACCCCCAAUUAAAAAUACAAUGAAUUAUUCUCAUGAAAUCUUAAUUGCUCUAAUAGAGAAUCAAACCUAAAAAUUAGGGUUUGUAUAUGUACACACAUACACAUAUCUAUAGGGACAAAAAGAGCUUAGUCAUGAAGACGACGAGCUUAGUCAUGGAGCUCGUGGCAACACGAUUCUCUCUUCUCUCUCCACGACGACGUCUUUGGAAAUCGCGUUGAGGGAGGGUCUUCACUCAGCGACUGGUCCAAAUCUCUAGGCGGUCGUCUUCCAUCAUUUAAUUUCCUGCUAUGGUAAAGGCGCGGAGUGAAUGGAAAGAUCUAGGGGUUUGAAACGGAAGAUUGAACAAAAUCCAAUUAUAUAACAAAUUUAGAUAAGAGUGGAUUAGUGAAACCCGGAAUUGGAAAGAAAAGAAUCAAAAUUCGAAAAUGAAUAUAAAUUUGGAGAAAAAUGAGAAAAUUUGGAAAUAAAAAAGUUGAUCGGGAGAAUAUCAGGGACAACAGUGUCAUAUGAUUUAAAGUUGAGAUUCAUAUCUAAAUUUUAGAUAGAAAAUAUAGAUUUAAUUUUAGUGGUGGUGAAGGUUUAUUUGGAUUGAAAUGGAGGUAAGGGUUUUAGAUGGAAUGGAUUUUAGAUGGAAGGUGUAGAUUUGAUUUGAUUUGAUUUUAGUGGUGGUGAAGGUUUGUUCGGAUUGAUCAUUGUGUUGAUGUUAAUCGGUAAUUGAAAGCUUUUGCUUUUAAUUUGAUAUUAGUCUCUUUUUU
rnacentral:lncRNA from 1 species